UACGUAGGGGGCGAGCGUUGUCCGGAAUUACUGGGCGUAAAGGGCGCGUAGGCGGCCUUCUAAGUCGAACGUGAAAUCCCCGGGCUCAACCCGGGAACUGCGUCCGAUACUGGAAGGCUUGAAUCCGGGAGAGGGAUGCGGAAUUCCAGGUGUAGCGGUGAAAUGCGUAGAUAUCUGGAGGAACACCGGUGGCGAAGGCGGGUCUCUGGGCCGAUAUUGACGCUGAGGAGCGAAAGCGUGGGGAGCGAACAGG
rnacentral:rRNA from 1 species